rnacentral:rRNA from 1 species
UCCAGACUCCUACGGGAGGCAGCAGUGAGGAAUAUUGGUCAAUGGGCGCGAGCCUGAACCAGCCAAGUCGCGUGAGGGAAGACGGUCCUAUGGAUUGUAAACCUCUUUUGCCGGGGAGCAACGGGGUCCUUGCGAGGGCCCGAUGAGAGUACCCGGAGAAAAAGCAUCGGCUAACUCCGUGCCAGCAGCCGCGGUAAUACGGAGGGCGCGAGCGUUAAUCGGAAUUACUGGGCGUAAAGCGCGCGUAGGCUGUUGUGUAAGUUGGGGGUGAAAUCCCACGGCUCAACCGUGGAACAGCCCUUGAUACUGCGCGACUUGAAUCCGGGAGAGGGUGGCGGAAUUCCAGGUGUAGGAGUGAAAUCCGUAGAUAUCUGGAGGAACAUCAGUGGCGAAGGCGGCCACCUGGACCGGUAUUGACGCUGAGGCGCGAAAGCGUGGGGAGCAAACAGGAUUAGAUACCCCCGUAAG